AUUGUUCGCUGGCGGCAUGCCUUACACAUGCAAGUCGAACGGCAGCACGGAGCUUGCUCUGGUGGCGAGUGGCGAACGGGUGAGUAAUAUAUCGGAACGUACCCUAGAGUGGGGGAUAACGUAGCGAAAGUUACGCUAAUACCGCAUACGAUCUAAGGAUGAAAGUGGGGGAUCGCAAGACCUCAUGCUCGUGGAGCGGCCGAUAUCUGAUUAGCUAGUUGGUAGGGUAAAAGCCUACCAAGGCAUCGAUCAGUAGCUGGUCUGAGAGGACGACCAGCCACACUGGAACUGAGACACGGUCCAGACUCCUACGGGAGGCAGCAGUGGGGAAUUUUGGACAAUGGGCGAAAGCCUGAUCCAGCAAUGCCGCGUGAGUGAAGAAGGCCUUCGGGUUGUAAAGCUCUUUUGUCAGGGAAGAAACGGUGGGAGCUAAUAUCUCUUGCUAAUGACGGUACCUGAAGAAUAAGCACCGGCUAACUACGUGCCAGCAGCCGCGGUAAUACGUAGGGUGCAGGCGUUAAUCGGAAUUACUGGGCGUAAAGCGUGCGCAAGCGGUUUUGUAAGUCCGAUGUGAAAUCCCCGGGCUCCACCUGGGAAUUGCAUUGGAGACUGCAAAGCUAGAAUCUGGCAGAGGGGGGGAAGAUUCCACGUGUAGCCGUGAAAUGGGUAGAUAUGGGGAGGAAACACCGAUGGCGAAGGCAACCCCCUGGUCAAGAUUGACGCUCAUGCAAGAAAGCGUGGGGAGCAAACAGGAUUAGAUACCUGGGUAGGUCCACGCCCUAAACGAUGUAUACUAGUUGUCGGGUCUUAAUUGACUUGGUAACGCAGCUAACGCGUGAAGUAGACCGCCUGGGGAGUACGGUCGCAAGAUUUAAAACUCAAAGGAAUUGACGGGGACCCGCACAAGCGGUGGAUGAUGUGGAUUAAUUCGAUGCAACGCGAAAAACCUUACCUACCCUUGACAUGGCUGGAAUCCUUGAGAGAUCAGGGAGUGCUCGAAAGAGAACCAGUACACAGGUGCUGCAUGGCUGUCGUCAGCUCGUGUCGUGAGAUGUUGGGUUAAGUCCCGCAACGAGCGCAACCCUUGUCAUUAGUUGCUACGAAAGGGCACUCUAAUGAGACCGCCGGUGACAAACCGGAGGAAGGUGGGGAUGACGUCAAGUCCUCAUGGCCCUUAUGGGUAGGGCUUCACACGUCAUACAAUGGUACAUACAGAGCGCCGCCAACCCGCGAGGGGGAGCUAAUCGCAGAAAGUGUAUCGUAGUCCGGAUUGUAGUCUGCAACUCGACUGCAUGAAGUUGGAAUCGCUAGUAAUCGCGGAUCAGCAUGUCGCGGU
rnacentral:rRNA from 1 species